GAGAACUUGCAGCUGGGACUCCGCCGCGGUUGUCAUCGCAUUGCCCUCUCUCCACUCCCUUGGAAAUGGAGCAGAAGGAAUCACUUGAAAUCGUGACCGGCGAAUAUGAUCUGUAUCCUUUCACAGAUCUUUUUGUUGGGAGAGUAACUAGUUGAGAUUAACCUAUAUAUUCUGCUGGGGGAAGGAACGAGCUUGAUGGAGCUUGUUGAUGCAGGAGCGUCUUAUUGGUGUUGCCUUAGGGACCGCCUUCACGGCUUCGGUCCUUUUCCAGAACCGCAGGGCCAUACACUGACAACAGAUUCGUUUAGUAUGAGCAAACAGGACUUGCGUGUUAUGGAAUUUUGGGAGAGAUGUUGGACAAACUCUUGGGCACCAUGCAUUUGAAUUCCAAGACAUGUAUUGUGCAAGGUUGUAAAUUCUAUAUGGUAUAUUAGCAAAGAAUCUCUUUCCUACAUAGAAAUAAUUUGCUAUCUGGUGACAACCAAGUUGGCAAGUUAUCAUAAUAGGCCACAAACUUGAUGCAAGUCUGUGCAUCCACUUAGGUUGGAUCUACAUUUCAGAAUCCAAAAAGAUAGAUAUUGAAAGCUUUUCUGUAUGUGGAGGAUGACCUCUGGCUUGCUUCAGCUGAACCAAUUUGAUAUGGUAACUUUGGACGAUUGGAAGGGUUUGUAUCGGCUUCACAUUGUCCCGGUUUAUGCUGUUAUGGGGGGCUUUUGCUGUAAGCAAUUAGGCGUUAGUGUGCAUCGUGACAUUCUUCAUUGGAAUAGCAACUUGGUGUACAUUUUUACUGUUCUGAAAAAUCUUAGGAAUAACUUUUAGGCAGAAGCAUACUCUUAGCUUAUGUCUGAAAGUUGUGGCUGUCCUAGCACCAGAAUGGAGCAAAAGUAAAUGACCAGGUGAAAAGUUUUAAUGGUCACUGUCUUUCCAUGUAAGUUGCUAGUAUUUGUCAAAAUUUAUUGUACUAUAAGGAAAAUGUACAUGUAGGAUUUUUGAUAUGAGAAAGAAGGAUGUGCCAUAAAUAAGAUGUUCAUGCCCGAAUUUACAGAACA